ACUCCUACGGGAGGCAGCAGUAGGGAAUCUUCCACAAUGGGCGCAAGCCUGAUGGAGCAACACCGCGUGAGUGAAGAAGGGUUUCGGCUCGUAAAGCUCUGUUGUUAAAGAAGAGCACGUAUGAGAGUAACUGUUCAUACGUUGACGGUAUUUAACCAGAAAGUCACGGCUAACUACGUGCCAGCAGCCGCGGUAAUACGUAGGUGGCAAGCGUUAUCCGGAUUUAUUGGGCGUAAAGAGAGUGCAGGCGGUUUUCUAAGUCUGAUGUGAAAGCCUUCGGCUUAACCGGAGAAGUGCAUCGGAAACUGGAUAACUUGAGUGCAGAAGAGGGUAGUGGAACUCCAUGUGUAGCGGUGGAAUGCGUAGAUAUAUGGAAGAACACCAGUGGCGAAGGCGGCUACCUGGUCUGCAACUGGCGCUGAGACUCGAAAGCAUGGGUAGCGAACAGGAUUAGAUACCCUGGUAGGAUAGCG
rnacentral:rRNA from 1 species